CUCCUACUUUUCUAAGAAAACAAAAGAGAUACAGAUGGAAGUGAAUUAGGAAGAAAAAAAAUCUACUGUUGUGAUGCUUUAAUCUAUUUUAAUAUGUGAGCCUGAAAUUCCUCCUAAAACAAAGUCCCUGAACUUUUAUUAUUAAAAGUAAUAAAAAUUCAAGGACUUUGUUUUAGGAGGAAAUAGGUGCUAGCAGGUAUUUUCUAAGGGUUGAGAUGACACUGGCCUGAAGAAUGACAGCAGGACAGUCAGCUCUGGAGUGUUGCAUCAGUGAUUCUACACACGCCAGCCUAAGCCAGAGCUGCUGAAAUGUGUUCUCAUGACUGGGAAUCCAGCUGCUCUCUCUAGGAUGCAGAUAAAAUACAUACCUGAAAGACAGCAUCCUUUGACAGUGGCCCACAUUCCAGCUGUUUGUGGGGAACUGCUGCCUGUAGGAUGGACUCACAUUGGAGAAGUUCAUGGAGAACUGACUCCCAUGGGAGGAACCCCACAGUGCAGUAGGGGAAGGACUCCUCUUCCUGAGCAGUGGCAGAAACAGCGUGUGAUGAACUGACCAUAACUCCCCAUGCCCUGCCUCCCUGCAUCUCUGAGGGGGAGGAGGUAGAAGGGGGAAGGAGGAAGAGAUGAGAAGUGGAGUAAUUGAGCAGCUUUGGUGAGUGUCUGACAUCCAGCCAGGGUCAACCCACUCAAAUGUCAAUGACAUUUUGGAAACUCAGUCACAGGCACUCUACUACCAAACCUGUGUGUGUGACUUAUGGAAAUGGAUUUGAUUGGUGUGCAGGCUAACAAAAUAAGUCACUUGAUUACUCAUGAUCAUGAGUGAAGAUAUGGAAGAAUGAAGAUACAGAAGAGUGAAGAUGUCAAGUAAUGCCUAAUUAAAAUGACUGAUUCAUGAUCAAGGCACUAUUUUCACUCCCUGAACUGAGGAAUCCUUCCCUAAGCAUUAUUGAUUCUUGGUUCAGGCGUUGACUUCUGCCUACAACUCUGCUGCUCUAGUGUCUGGAAAGGCAAGUGCUGCCAUUGCAUACCAAGGAAACACCUUACAUCAGGUCAAAGGGUGUCACAUCAACAGGAUCACCUUUGUUGCUAUUACAGUGCCCACAGACAAUUUUACUGUCUCCAAUAACUCUAUGGAAAGAGCCUGGGUCUGCAUUUCAGCCUACACACAGUGAUGGUAUAAAACUAAUUAAUUAUCCUGCUAAGAUAAAAACAAAUGAGGAAGAAGAUUGAAAGCAUACACAGGCAUAAAUCAAACUUUGUCUUUUAGCAUAUUGAUGCGUAUAUUUUUGUGAGGGCUGAAGUCACAAA